ACGCACGCUGGCGGCAUGCCUAACACAUGCCAGUCGCACGAGACCUUCGGGUCUAGUGGCGCACGGGUGCGUAACGCGUGGGAAUCUGCCCUUGGGUUCGGAAUAACAGUUGGAAACGACUGCUAAUACCGGAUGAUGACGUAAGUCCAAAGAUUUAUCGCCCAAGGAUGAGCCCGCGUAGGAUUAGCUAGUUGGUGAGGUAAAGGCUCACCAAGGCGACGAUCCUUAGCUGGUCUGAGAGGAUGAUCAGCCACACUGGGACUGAGACACGGCCCAGACUCCUACGGGAGGCAGCAGUGGGGAAUAUUGGACAAUGGGCGAAAGCCUGAUCCAGCAAUGCCGCGUGAGUGAUGAAGGCCUUAGGGUUGUAAAGCUCUUUUACCCGGGAUGAUAAUGACAGUACCGGGAGAAUAAGCUCCGGCUAACUCCGUG
rnacentral:rRNA from 1 species